rnacentral:rRNA from 1 species
GUCCACGCCGUAAACGAUGGAUACUAGCUGUUGGGAGCAAUUUCAGUGGCUAAGCGAAAGUGAUAAGUAUCCCACCUGGGGAGUACGUUCGCAAGAAUGAAACUCAAAGGAAUUGACGGGGGCCCGCACAAGCGGUGGAGCAUGUGGUUUAAUUCGAUGAUACGCGAGGAACCUUACCAAGGCUUAAAUGUAGAUUGACCGGUUUUGGAAACAGACUUUUUCGCAAGACAAUUUUACAAGGUGCUGCAUGGUUGUCGU